rnacentral:rRNA from 1 species
GGUGAACGCUGGCGGUGUGCCUAAUACAUGCAAGUCGAGCGAGGAUUCGAGCCGAGUGGCAGUCGGCUGAGUAACACGUUGGUAACUAUCUCAAAUUCAGGGAUAACGUCGAGAACUCGGUGCUAAUACCGGAUGGUCCCCUAAGGGCAAAGUAUUUAUGGAUCGAGAGGUUUCGGCGUCCGAUCAGGUAGUUGGUGAGGUAACGGCGCACCAAGCCGAUGACGGGUAACUGUGCUGAGGGGAUGACCAGUCAGAGGGAAACUGAGGCACGGUUCCCACUUCUACGGAAAGGAGCAGUAGAGAAUCUUCCACAAGGGACGUGAGUCAGAAGGGUCUUCGCCGCGUGCAGGAUUGAGACCCUUGAGGCAUAAACUGCUUUUUUGGGGGAAAAAUUCUGAUUGUACCCAAAGAAUAAGCACCGGCAAAUCACGUG